UACGGGGGGGGCAAGCGUUGUUCGGAAUUACUGGGCGUAAAGGGCUCGUAGGCGGCCAACUAAGUCAGACGUGAAAUCCCUCGGCUUAACCGGGGAACUGCGUCUGAUACUGGAUGGCUUGAGUGUGGGAGAGGAAUGCGGAAUUCCUGGUGUAGCGGUGAAAUGCGUAGAUAUCAGGAGGAACACCGGUGGCGAAGGCGGGUCUCUGGGCCGAUACUGACGCUGAGGAGCGAAAGCAUGGGUAGCGAACAGG
rnacentral:rRNA from 1 species